rnacentral:lncRNA from 1 species
CUCAUUUCGAAUGUCGUAGUUUUUUAAUUCUACUUUGAAUUUUGAUAACGAGUCUACAUUUCGAACUGAUAUGUUCAAAUUAUUCCAAAGUUUAAUUGUUGAUGGGAUAAAGGAUUGGGAAGUCAGUGUCAGUCUGCAAAAUGGUAAAAUGAUAUCUUGUCCAUUUCGCAAAGGAUAUUGUGUUGUACUUUGAAUUUUAGGGGGCACAAGGUUACAUAAAUAUUCAGGGGCAUUAUUAUUCUGAAUUUUAUAAAAUAAUUGUAGUUUUCUUCUUUUUCUUCGUUCCUCUAAAGUUUCCCAACCAACCUCUUUUAAGACAGUCUCAGAGUGUGUGAAAACAGGCAAACCUGUUACAAUUCGUGCAGCUUCAAGUUGUAGCUGUUCUAGUUUAAUUGAAUAACCUUUUCCGCAAUUGUCCCAUACUUCAGUUGCAUAUUCAAAAAUUGGUC